AGUGAACGCUGGCGGUAGGCCUAACACAUGCAAGUCGAACGACAGCACAGUAAGAGCUUGCUCUUACGGGUGGCGAGUGGCGGACGGGUGAGGAAUACAUCGGAAUCUACUUUUUCGUGGGGGAUAACGUAGGGAAACUUACGCUAAUACCGCGUACGACCUACGGGUGAAAGCAGGGGAUCUUCGGACCUUGCGCGAUUGAAUGAGCCGAUGUCGGAUUAGCUAGUUGGCGGGGUAAAGGCCCACCAAGGCGACGAUCCGUAGCUGGUCUGAGAGGAUGAUCAGCCACACUGGAACUGAGACACGGUCCAGACUCCUACGGGAGGCAGCAGUGGGGAAUAUUGGACAAUGGGCGCAAGCCUGAUCCAGCCAUACCGCGUGGGUGAAGAAGGCCUUCGGGUUGUAAAGCCCUUUUGUUGGGAAAGAAAAGCAGCAGGUUAAUACCCCGCUGUUCUGACGGUACCCAAAGAAUAAGCACCGGCUAACUUCGUG
rnacentral:rRNA from 1 species